UCCUGGCUCAGGACGAACGCUGGCGGCGUGCCUAACACAUGCAAGUCGAACGGAACUGUUUUGAAAGAUUUCUUCGGAAUGAAUUUGAUUUAGUUUAGUGGCGGACGGGUGAGUAACGCGUGAGUAACCUGCCUUCAAGAGGGGGAUAACAUUCUGAAAAGAAUGCUAAUACCGCAUGACAUAUCGGAAUCACAUGAUUUUGAUAUCAAAGAUUUUAUCGCUUGAAGAUGGACUCGCGUCCGAUUAGUUAGUUGGUGAGGUAACGGCUCACCAAGACCGCGAUCGGUAGCCGGACUGAGAGGUUGAACGGCCACAUUGGGACUGAGACACGGCCCAGACUCCUACGGGAGGCAGCAGUGGGGGAUAUUGCGCAAUGGGGGCAACCCUGACGCAGCAACGCCGCGUGAAGGAUGAAGGUUUUCGGAUUGUAAACUUCUUUUAUUAAGGACGAAAAAUGACGGUACUUAAUGAAUAAGCUCCGGCUAACUACGUGCCAGCAGCCGCGGUAAUACGUAGGGAGCAAGCGUUGUCCGGAUUUACUGGGUGUAAAGGGUGCGUAGGCGGCUUUGCAAGUCAGAUGUGAAAUCUAUGGGCUCAACCCAUAAACUGCAUUUGAAACUGUAGAGCUUGAGUGAAGUAGAGGCAGGCGGAAUUCCCCGUGUAGCGGUGAAAUGCGUAGAGAUGGGGAGGAACACCAGUGGCGAAGGCGGCCUGCUGGGCUUUAACUGACGCUGAGGCACGAAAGCGUGGGUAGCAAACAGGAUUAGAUACCCUGGUAGUCCACGCUGUAAACGAUGAUUACUAGGUG
rnacentral:rRNA from 1 species